UUUUAUAAUAGGUGUUUUCUGCCCAGUGAUAAAAAAUAAAUGGCCGCGGUACUCUGACCGUGCAAAGGUAGCAUAAUCAUUUGCCCCUUAAUUGGGGGCUGGUAUGAAAGAAAUUUUGAGGUUUUAGCUGUCUCUUUCUUGUGUUAGAAUUUUCUGUUUUUGUGAAGAAGCAAAGGUGUUAAAAAAAGAACAAGAAAACCCUUUUAAGCUUUAUUUUUUUUGUUUUAUUUGUUUCUUUUAAGUAUGUUAAUAAAUUUAAAAAAAUUUGGUUGGGGUGACUAAAGAAGAAAAAAUCUUCUUUAGUUAGAAAAAACUUUAAGUUUAAUUUUGACCCAAGAUUUUUUGGUUGAAAGAAUUAGUUACUAAAGGGAUAACAGCGUAAUCUUUUCAGAGAGUUCUUAUUGAAGAAAAGGAUUGCGACCUCGAUGUUGACUUGUUUUUUCCUUUUAAGGUGUAGAAGUUGAAAGGGUUGGUUUGUUCAACCAUUACA
rnacentral:rRNA from 1 species